UAGAGUAAUGCGUGACCAACCUGCCCCAUGCUCCAGAAUAGCUCUUGGAAACGGGUGGUAAUGCUGGAUGCUCCAACUUGACGCAUGUCUUGUUGGGAAAGUGUUAGUGGCAUGGGAUGGGGUCGCGUCCUAUCAGCUUGUAGGCGGGGUAAUGGCCCACCUAGGCUUCGACGGGUAGCCGGCCUGAGAGGGCGGACGGCCACAUUGGGACUGAGAUACGGCCCAGACUCCUACGGGAGGCAGCAGC
rnacentral:rRNA from 1 species